AUAAUUGAACUGUCCUAUGCUGCAUUGAAGGAAUGUAGCCACGAGCGGAUAUGAACUCCAUGGCAACCACAUAUCGACAUCGUCUUUUCAACACCUGGGAAAUGCCAGUGUUAGAGGUCUGCAUAGGGGCUUCUCUAGUCCUGGGAUUAAAGGUAUGUGCCACAAAUGGAUGGACUAGAAGAAACCUUCCUGAAUGAGGUAACCCAGACAUGGAAAGACAAACACGAUUAUCUCUGCUCAAGCUGAAUAUGUAGAUGUUGUCUGGUUUUAACCCUAUCCUCAUCAAACUUCAACCUGUCAGAGAGUAUUCCUCUGUGGUGAU
rnacentral:lncRNA from 1 species